AUGGCGAAAGUUUCGCAGGCGAAUCAGGAAUUUUUAUCCCUUGUUAGAAGAAGAGUGUUUGAUGAGAUGAACAAUGCCCAUCUCGCCCCUUACACUGAUGAAGAUGUUCAAAAGGCUCUUUUUGAUAUUGGUGAUUUAAAAGCUCCAGGACCUGAUGGACUUCAUGCAAUCUUCUAUAAAAGGUGUUGGUCCAUGUUAUGGGGUGAUCUGGUUGAUGAGGUGUUGCAAGCGAUGAAUACAUGUACUAUUCCAUUUGGAUGGAAUGAAACAAUCAUUGUGAUGUGGAAGUACCCACUUUAG
rnacentral:rRNA from 1 species